rnacentral:sRNA from 1 species
AUCUAAACCUGGUAGAAGCGACACGAGUGUAACGAAGUAAAGCGGAUAACAGGACUGUAU